CUACGGGGUGCACCAGUGGGGAAUAUUGCACAAUGGAGGAAACUCUGAUGCAGCAACGCCGCGUGGAGGAUGACACUUUUCGGAGCGUAAACUCCUUUUAUAUAGGAAGAAGAUGACGGUACUAUAUGAAUAAGCGCCGGCUAACUCCGUGCCAGCAGCCGCGGUAAUACGGAGGGCGCAAGCGUUACUCGGAAUCACUGGGCGUAAAGGGCGUGUAGGCGGAUUAAAAAGUCAGAAGUGAAAUCCUAUAGCUUAACUAUAGAACUGCUUCUGAAACUCUUAAUCUAGAAUAUGGGAGAGGUAGAUGGAAUUUCUGGUGUAGGGGUAACAUCCGUAGAGAUCAGAAGGAAUACCGAUUGCGAAGGCGAUCUGCUAGAACAUUAUUGACGCUGAGACGCGAAAGCGUGGGGAGCAAACAGGAUUAGAUACCCUAGUAGUC
rnacentral:rRNA from 1 species